CGUCGACCGUGAAAAUCUCAACAUCUUGCAAGAUUGGUACACCCACAAUGCAUACCCUCUCAGAGAGGAAUUAUACCAACUCCAGCAAUUAACCGGUUGGAAUCAGACCAAGAUUCGCAACUGGUUUUGCGAUCGGAGGCGUGCACGAGAAACCAAGCCGAUCGUAUCCGCCAACGUUUCCCAACUUCCGGUUGGAGACGUCAAUCCAAAAACCCGCACAAUUCGCGUCAGAACCGUCCUGACUGCUAAGCAGUUGGAAAUUCAUCGCACUUCUUUCGCCAAAAAUCCGAGGCCAGACGACAUUGAGAAGGAAGAACUGCAAAUACUGACAAACCUUAGCCCUCGCCUGAUCCGUGUCUGGUUUCAAAAUAAACGAUGCAAAGUCAAGAAGCAGGAAAUUCUAGCAAGACUCGAAAAGAGUGACGACUCAUUUCCUGCGGGGAACAACGGCCAAGGUCGGGGAGAAGACCAUUUCACACGAAGAAUUCGUGAUGAUUUGAAGAGAUCUUUAAUCUUUGCUCAACUUUUUUGGAGAGACCUGUCUGUAUCUUGUUUAAAUACU